rnacentral:rRNA from 1 species
AAGGCUAAAUACUACUCAGUGACCGAUAGCGAUUAGUACUGUGAAGGAAAGGUGAAAAGGACCCCGGGAGGGGAGUGAAAGAGAACCUGAAACCCUGUGUUUACAAACUGUGGAACAGCGCAAGCUGAACCGCGUACUUUUUGUAGAACGGUCCGGCGAGUUAUAGUUACUGGCAAGGUUAAGGACUUAAGGUCCGGAGCCGAAGCGAGAGCGAGUCUGAAUAGGGCGCAAAGUCAGUAGAUAUAGACCCGAAACCGGGUGACCUAUCCAUGUCCAGGAUGAAGCUAAAGUAAAAUUUGGUGGAGGUCCGAACGCACAUCCGUUGAAAAGGGUGGCGAUGAGGUGUGGAUAGCGGAGAAAUUCCAAUCGAACCCGGAGAUAGCUGGUUCUCCUCGAAAUAGCUUUAGGGCUAGCCUCGCUGAUAAGUCUUUCGCAGGUAGAGCACUGAAUUCUUGAGGGGGCGUCAAAGUCUACCAAGAGAUAUCAAACUCCGAAUGGCGGUAAGAUAUAAGCGGGAGUCAGACUGCGGGAUAUAAAUUCCGUAGUCAAAAGGGAAACAGCCCAGAUCUACAGCUAAGGUCCCAAAGUACAUGUUAAGUGGUAAAGGAUGUGGGAUUUCAUAGACAACUAGGAUGUUGGCUUAGAAGCAGCCACACAUUCAAAGAGUGCGUAAUAGCUCACUAGUCGAGAGGUCCUGCGCCGAAAAUUAACGGGGCUAAAACAUGACACCGAAGCUUAGGGAUGGUGUAAACCAUCGGUAGAGGAGCAUUGAAAACGAGAUGAAGCGGUACCGAAAGGAGCCGUGGAUUGUUUUGAAGAGAGAAUGCCGGAAUGAGUAGCGAGAUGGAGGUGAGAAUCCUCCAGGCCGAAUAUCUAAGGUUUCCAGGGUAAAGCUGAUCUGCCCUGGGUAAGUCGGGGCCUAAGGCGAGGCUGAGAAGCGUAGUCGAUGGACAACUGGUGUAGAUUCCAGUACCUUACUAAAUCAGAAAUGUGGGGACACAUGGAGAAAGAGAGAGCCGGGAAUGAGAAGACCGGUGCAAGGGAGGUAGGAGUGUAGUAGGAAAAACCGCUACACAAUCUGAAGACCUGAUGCGGAUCGAAAAGAAGUAGAGAAGCUCUUGGACUCUGUGGCGAGAAAAGCCGCUAUUGUGUUUAGUAAGCCCGUACCGCAAACCGACACAGGUAGAUGAGGAGAGAAUCCUAAGGCCGGCGGGAGAAGCAUUGUUAAGGAACUCGGCAAAAUGACCCCGUAACUUCGGGAGAAGGGGUGCCAUCCUCCGGGAUGGCCACAGAAAAUAGGCUCAAGCAACUGUUUAGCAAAAACACAGGUCUAUGCGAAACCGAAAGGUGAGGUAUAUGGGCUGACGCCUGCCCGGUGCUGGAAGGUUAAGAGGAGAGGUUAGCGCAAGCGAAGCUUUGAAUUGAAGCCCCAGUAAACGGCGGCCGUAACUAUAACGGUCCUAAGGUAGCGAAAUUCCUUGUCGGGUAAGUUCCGACCCGCACGAAAGGCGUAAUGAUUUGAGCGCUGUCUCAACAAUGCACCCGGUGAAAUUGAAGUACCAGUGAAGAUGCUGGUUACCCGCGCCAGGACGGAAAGACCCCAUGGAGCUUUACUCCAGCUUGAUACUGGGAUUCGGUAAUGUAUGCACAGGAUAGGUGGGAGACGAAGAAGAUAGUACUUCGGUAUUAUCAGAGUCGCUGUUGGGAUACCACCCUUAUGUUAUUGGAUUUCUAACCUUAGGCCGUAAGCCGGUCAAGGGACAAUGUCAGGUGGGGAGUUUGACUGGGGCGGUCGCCUCCGAAAGUGUAUCGGAGGCGCUCAAAGGUUCCCUCAGGAUGGUUGGAAACCAUCCAAAGAGUGUAAAGGCAUAAGGGAGCUUGACUGCGAGGGCGACGGUCCGAGCAGAGUAGAAAUACGGACUUAGUGAUCCGGUGGUAUGAAAGUGGGAUUGCCAUCGCUCAACGGAUAAAAGCUACCCUGGGGAUAACAGGCUGAUCUCCCCCAAGAGUUCACAUCGACGGGGAGGUUUGGCACCUCGAUGUCGGCUC